AUUGAACGCUGGCGGCAUGCCUUACACAUGCAAGUCGAACGGCAGCACGGGUGCUUGCACCUGGUGGCGAGUGGCGAACGGGUGAGUAAUACAUCGGAACAUGUCCUGUAGUGGGGGAUAGCCCGGCGAAAGCCGGAUUAAUACCGCAUACGAUCUACGGAUGAAAGCGGGGGACCUUCGGGCCUCGCGCUAUAGGGUUGGCCGAUAGCUGAUUAGCUAGUUGGUGGGGUAAAGGCCUACCAAGGCGACGAUCAGUAGCUGGUCUGAGAGGACGACCAGCCACACUGGGACUGAGACACGGCCCAGACUCCUACGGGAGGCAGCAGUGGGGAAUUUUGGACAAUGGGCGAAAGCCUGAUCCAGCAAUGCCGCGUGUGUGAAGAGGGCCUUCGGGUUGUAAAGCACUUUUGUCCGGAAAGAAAUCCUUGGCUCUAAUACAGUCGGGGGAUGACGGUACCGGAAGAAUAAGCACCGGCUAACUACGUG
rnacentral:rRNA from 1 species